AUCUCCGUCUUAUGAAUGAUUAUACAUUAUUCACAGAUGCAUUUGAAAACUCGUAAUUCAGCUCCUUGAAACCAUUUGACAGAGGAAUGUGCAGUUUCCAGGAGCUGGGAUGCUCAAACAACAGAUGUGCAGACCAAAAGCAAAGGAAUUUAUUGCUCUUAUUCUGAUGGUUGACAGAAAACCAACACUGACCCUUAAGAGUUUUGGGAGCAAAAUAAAUAAAGAGUUUUAGAAUUAUGCAUGAACACUGUGACCACCGAAUAACAUCCUGGAAACAUGGUGAGAAUAAGCAUCCAGUGUAAAAUAAAUCAGCUCUCAGAAGGGAA